AUUGAACGCUGGCGGAAUGCUUUACACAUGCAAGUCGGACGGCAGCACGGACUUCGGUCUGGUGGCGAGUGGCGAACGGGUGAGUAAUACAUCGGAACGUGCCCAAUCGUGGGGGAUAACGUAGCGAAAGCUACGCUAAUACCGCAUACGAUCUAAGGAUGAAAGCGGGGGAUCGCAAGACCUCGCGCGAUUGGAGCGGCCGAUGGCAGAUUAGGUAGUUGGUAGGGUAAAGGCCUAACAAGCCGACGAUCUGUAGCUGGUCUGAGAGGAUGAUCGGCCAAACGGGGAAUGAGACAGGGCCCAGACUCCUACGGGAGGGAGCGGUGGGGAAUUUUGGACAAUGGACGCAAGUCUGAUCCAGCCAUUCCGCGUGCAGGAUGAAGGCCCUCGGGUUGUAAACUGCUUUUGUACAGAACGAAAAGGCUCUGGUUAAUACCUAGGGCUCAUGACGGUACUGUAAGAAUAAGCACCGGCUAACUACGUGCCAGCAGCCGCGGUAA
rnacentral:rRNA from 1 species